rnacentral:misc_RNA from 1 species
AACGCACAUUGCGCCCGCCGGUAUUCCGGCGGGCAUGCCUGUCCGAGCGUCAUUUCACCACUCAAGCCCAGCUUGGUGUUGGGGCACCCGGCCGCCCGGCGGUCGGGGCCCCCAAGAACAUCGGCGGUCUCGCCAGGACCCUGAACGCAGUAACUCGCGGUAAAACGCGCUUCGUUCGGAGGCUUCCCGGCGGGCUCCAGCCGCUAAACCCCCUAAACUUCUUAGGUUGACCUCGGAUCAGGUAGGAAUACCCGCUGAACUUAA